rnacentral:rRNA from 1 species
AUUGAACGCUGGCGGCAUGCCUAACACAUGCAAGUCGAACGAGAGGCGGACGGGCGAGUAAUGUAUCGGAACGUGCCUAAUGGCGGGGGAUAACUACUGGAAACGGUGGCUAAUACCGCAUACGAUCGGAUCGGCCGAUGUUGGAUGAGCUAGUAGGUGGGUGAAAGGCGCACCAAGGCGACGAUCCAUAGCUGGUCUGAGAGGAUGACCAGCCACACUGGAACUGAGACAAGGCCCAGACGCCUACGGGAGGCAGCAGUGGGGAAUAUUGGACAAUGGGCGCAAGCCUGAUGCAGCCAUGCCGCGUGUAUGAAGAAGGCCUUCGGGUUGUAAAGUACUUUUGGCAGGGAGGCGUUACCUGCAGAAGAAGCACCGGCUAACUCCGUGCCAGCAGCCGCGGUAAUUC